rnacentral:rRNA from 1 species
AGUGAACGCUGGCGGUAGGCCUAACACAUGCGAGUCGAACGGCAGCACAGUAAGAGCUUGCUCUUACGGGUGGCGAGUGGCGGACGGGUGAGGAAUACAUCGGAAUCUACUUUUUCGUGGGGGAUAACGUAGGGAAACUUACGCUAAUACCGCAUACGACCUACGGGUGAAAGCAGGGGAUCUUCGGACCUUGCGCGAUUGAAUGAGCCGAUGUCGGAUUAGCUAGUUGGCGGGGUAAAGGCCCACCAAGGCGACGAUCCGUAGCUGGUCUGAGAGGAUGAUCAGCCACACUGGAACUGAGACACGGUCCAGACUCCUACGGGAGGCAGCAGUGGGGAAUAUUGGACAAUGGUCGCAAGCCUGAUCCAGCCAUACCGCGUGGGUGAAGAAGGCCUUCGGGUUGUAAAGCCCUUUUGUUGGGAAAGAAAAGCAGCAGGUUAAUACCCCGCUGUUCUGACGGUACCCAAAGAAUAAGCACCGGCUAACUUCGUG